GACGAACGCUGGCGGCGUGCCUAAUACAUGCAAGUAGAACGCUGAAGGAGGAGCUUGCUUCUCUGGAUGAGUUGCGAACGGGUGAGUAACGCGUAGGUAACCUGCCUGGUAGUGGGGGAUAACUAUUGGAAACGAUAGCUAAUACCGCAUAAUAGCAGAUGUUGCAUGAUAACUGUUUGAAAGGUGGAAUUGCACCGCUACCAGAUGGACCUGCGGUGUAUUAGCUAGUUGGGGGGGUAACGGCUCCACAAGGCGACGAUACAUAGCCGACCUGAGGGGGGGGUCCGCCCACCCGGGAACUGGACCCGGGCCCGGCCCCUUCCGGAGGCAACCGUAGGGGAUCUUUGGCCAUGGGCCGAAGGCUGACCCCGCAACGCCGCGGUGGUGGAGGAGGUCUUCGGAGUGUUAAGGUCUGUUGUUAGGGAAGAACGAGUGUGAGAGUGGAAAGUUCCCACUGUGACGGUACCUUACGAGAAAGCGCCGGCUAACUACGUG
rnacentral:rRNA from 1 species